rnacentral:tRNA from 1 species
GGGAGUGGACUCUGCCUUAGUGGUAGAGCAUCCGCUUUGCAUGCGGAAGACUCCAGGUUCGAUCCCAAGCACUGCCA